UUGAUUGUAUUUUGCUUGUGUAGUGUCCUCGGCAAAAGAAUGUCAUGGAUUCUGGAUAUUAUGUCAUGAGAUACAUGAAAGAGAUCAUCGGCCAUAAGCAAACUCGGAUAUUUGAAGAUUACUUUCAUGAUUGCAAUGUUCCGAAAUAUGAUCAAGGACAAAUUGAUGAAGUCAGAGCUCAAUGGACGCGUCAUGUUCUUCUCGUGUGAAUAUUAUGGUGGAUUAAUUAUUUUUUUCGACUGGAAUUUCUCUAGAACGUUUUAAUUUUA